rnacentral:rRNA from 1 species
AGUGAACGCUGGCGGUAGGCCUAACACAUGCAAGUCGAACGGCAGCACAGUAAGAGCUUGCUCUUACGGGUGGCGAGUGGCGGACGGGUGAGGAAUACAUCGGAAUCUACUUUUUCGUGGGGGAUAACGUAGGGAAACUUACGCUAAUACCGCAUACGACCUACGGGGGAAAGCAGGGGAUCUUCGGACCUUGCGCGAUUGAAUGAGCCGAUGUCGGAUUAGCUAGUUGGCGGGGUAAAGGCCCACCAAGGCGACGAUCCGUAGCUGGUCUGAGAGGAUGAUCAGCCACACUGGAACUGAGACACGGUCCAGACUCCUACGGGAGGCAGCAGUGGGGAAUAUUGGACAAUGGGCGCAAGCCUGAUCCAGCCAUACCGCGUGAGUGAAGAAGGCCUUCCGGUUGUAAAGCCCUUUUGUUGGGAAAGAAAAGCAGCAGGUUAAUACCCCGCUGUUCUGACGGUACCCAAAGAAUAAGCACCGGCUAACUUCGUG